CACGAUGACAAUAUUUACUUCACUGUUGCCUUGGGGAGCUCUAAAUGCAGAGAAUGGCGGCGGUUUUUCUCUAGACCUCCACUCUCGUGAGCAACUUCUUUUUGCCCAUUGAUAGUGUGCCUGGUGCGGGUCGAGUGGGGUGUAAAUCACCUCUAGGAGAAGAGCCAGGGAAACUCAAGACCUUCAAACUCUUACUGUGACCAAGGCUGGGGACGGGACGAGGCUACUCACACUCCGUUCAGUUUGCCCACCACCGUUUAGCUUUGGCAAUCUCCCUCCAUAGAGGAUCCAGAUGUCUGCUUAGGCCUGGUCAUGUGACCCAGUCCUGACUAAUGGGACUUGAGGGGAAGUUGUCCUGAGUCUUUUGGGAAAGAUUUCCCUCCUCAAGAGAAGAAAAAAGAGAUAUGGCAAUUCCUGCAUUUGGAUGUGGUGUGUGGAGAGUAAGAAAAUCCACCUGUGGAAGAUGAUGGAGCAGAAAAAUGUAAAGAACCUGGGUUCAACUGUCAUGGCUGAGUCUCUGCAUUGACCAAUCUGCUUCUGCCCUGCCUUUCAACUUCUUGUUGGCUUGAACCCCAGGGCUGCAGAGGAGACGGGAUGUGUGGCGUGGUCCCAGGCUGAAGGCCUCAGCUAUCAACAAGGCAUUCCCUCAGAGGAGAGCUAAGGCUUUUUCAGCUCUUGAAGAAGAGGGCUACCUUCUGUGUCCCUUGCCUCUCACUUGACACCUAUUGCACGCAGAAGCCCAUCAGUGAAAAGGACCUAAAUAAAGAACCACAAAUCGCCCUACCUUUCGCAGGAACUAGGACGAUCUCUUCUAGUCGAAGAAGGGAAAUCCUCCCCCAGUGUGCUGCCAGCUCGGAAGGCGUGGAACUGCAAACGGCCUGGGCUCAUUACAGUGGAAUUGAGUCUGGGCAUCGUCUGAGAGGGGAAAAAAGGUUUCCUGAGGGAGGCUCGGGCAGCAGUGGUGAAUCAACUGUUGUCGCAGCGGACUUCGGGGAAGUCCAGUAUUAGGAAGGCCCCUGUUUUGUGCAAACUGAUCAAAUACAGAUGUUUCCAAGGAGUUGACCUUACUCACCAAGACU